rnacentral:tRNA from 1 species
GCUAUUGUAGUAAAACCCGGUUUUACCAAAGAUCUAAACCCUUUCUAUAGAAGUUCAAAUCUUCUCUUUAGCU